CGGAAGGAGCAGUCCUCUGAAGCUUGAGGAGCCUCUAGAACUAUGAGCCCGAGGCCUUCCCCUUUCCCAGAGCGCAGAGGCUUUGAAGGCUACCUCUGGGAAGCCGCUCACCGUCGGAAGCUGCGGGAGCUGAAACUGCGCCAUCGUCACUGUCGGCGGCCAUGAUACCUCUCGUCUCCCGCCUGAGUCGUCAGCGGGCCAUCAUGAGGAAGCCACGAGCAGCCGUGGGAAGUGGUCACAGGAAGCAGGCAGCCAGCCAGGAAGGGAGGCAGAAGCGUGCUAAGAACAACAGUCAGGCCAAGCCUUCUGCCUGUGAUGAGACUUAGCUGAAGUCACAGCCUUCCGAGGGAGCCUGCUAAGCUGGUACGACCAAGAGAAACGGGACCUACCAUGGAGAAGACGGGCAGAAGAUGAGGUGGACCUGGACAGGCGGGCAUAUGCUGGUCAGUACAUCUCCUGAGAGCAGGGCUACUUUGCCUCGAGGCCCUUGGGUCUGGGGGCUGUGGGCCAGGUAGGGCAGGUCAGCAGUGUCCUCAUGCCAACCCCUUUCCCCUAGUGUGGGUCUCAGAGGUCAUGCUGCAGCAGACCCAGGUUGCCACUGUGAUCAACUACUAUACCGGAUGGAUGAAGGUGACUCCAGGGGAGGAAGGGAAGGGUCAUGGGUCAGACCCCAGAUGAGAGCCUGUACUUUGGGGUGGGUGUAGAGAAGGCUUCCUCUACCACCUUCGCCCUUGACCUUGUCUUUUUCUGCCUGCCUGUGGCUAUAGAAGUGGCCUACACUGCAGGACCUGGCCAGUGCUUCCCUGGAGGUGAGAGCCACCCUAGGGUAGGGGAAAUAGGAAUGAUAGAGGGACUGAAGGGUGAUCUCUUUGACCUCUGAUCCUACCCACAGGAGGUGAAUCAACUCUGGGCUGGCCUGGGCUACUAUUCUCGUGGCCGGCGGCUGCAGGAGGGAGCUCGGAAGGUAAGGGGAUGGCAGGAGGGUAGGAACCCAGGAGUCUUGGGUGUCUCAUAAUCUUGAGUCUUGCACUCCAAUCAGGUGGUAGAGGA
rnacentral:sRNA from 1 species